rnacentral:rRNA from 1 species
UGGGGAAUAUUGCACAAUGGGCGCAAGCCUGAUGCAGCCAUGCCGCGUGUGUGAAGAAGGCCUUCGGGUUGUAAAGCACUUUCAGCGGGGAGGAAGGCGUUAAGGUUAAUAACCUUGGCGAUUGACGUUACCCGCAGAAGAAGCACCGGCUAACUCCGUGCCAGCAGCCGCGGUAAUACGGAGGGUGCAAGCGUUAAUCGGAAUUACUGGGCGUAAAGCGCACGCAGGCGGUCUGUCAAGUCGGAUGUGAAAUCCCCGGGCUCAACCUGGGAACUGCAUUCGAAACUGGCAGGCUAGAGUCUUGUAGAGGGGGGUAGAAUUCCAGGUGUAGCGGUGAACUGCGUAGAGAUCUGGAGGAAUACCGGUGGCGAAGGCGGCCCCCUGGACGAAGACUGACGCUCAGGUGCGAAAGCGUGGGGAGCAAACAGG